GAUGAACGCUGGCGGCGUGCCUAAUACAUGCAAGUCGAGCGAACAGACGCGGAGCUUGCUCCUCUGACGUUAGCGGCGGACGGGUGAGUAACACGUGGAUAACCUCCCUAUAAUACUGGGAUAACUUCGGGAAACCGGCGCUAAUACCGGAUAAUAUAUUGAACCGCAUGGUUCAAUAGUGAAAGACGGUUUUGCUGUCACUUAUAGAUGGAUCCGCGCCGCAUUAGCUAGUUGGUAAGGUAACGGCUUACCAAGGCAACGAGGCGUAGCCGACCUUAGAGGGUGAGCGGCCACAAGGGAACUGAGACACGGUCCAGACUCCUACGGGAGGCAGCAGUAGGGAAUCUUGCGCAAGGGGCGAAAGCCUGACGGAGCAACGCCGCGUGAGUGAUGAAGGUCUUCGGAUCGUAAAACGCUGUUAUUAGGGAAGAACAAAUGUGUAAGUAACUAUGCACGUCUUGACGGUACCUAAUCAGAAAGCCACGGCUAACUACGUG
rnacentral:rRNA from 1 species